AUUGAACGCUGGCGGCAGGCCUAACACAUGCAAGUCGAGCGGAGCGGCGGUGGGGUGAGUAUUGCUUAGGAAUCUGCCUGGUAGUGGGGGAUAACGACCGGUAACGGGCGCUAAUACCGCAUACUAUCACAUGAGCCUAGGUUGGAUUGGCUAGUUGGUGGGGUAAAGGCGUACCAAGGCGACGAUCCGUAUCUGGGCUGAGAGGAUGAUCAGGCACACUGGAACUGAGACACGGUCCAGACUCCUACGUGAGGCAGCAGUGGGGAAUAGUGGACAAUGGGCGAAAGCCUGAUCCAGCCAUGCCGCGUGUGUGAAGAAGGUCUUCGGGUUGUAAAGCACUUUAAGUUGGGAGGCGUUACCAGCAGAAUAAGCACCGGCUAACUUCGUGCCAGCAGCCGCGGUAAUUC
rnacentral:rRNA from 1 species